rnacentral:rRNA from 1 species
CCUACGUGAGGCUGCAGUGAGGAAUAUUGGUCAAUGGACGGAAGUCUGAACCAGCCAUGCCGCGUGCAGGAAGACGGCUCUAUGAGUUGUAAACUGCUUUUGUACAAGGGUAAACCUGAAUACGUGUAUUCAGCUGAAAGUACUGUACGAAUAAGGCUCGGCUAACUCCGUGCCAGCAGCCGCGGUAAUACGGAGGCUCCAAGCGUUAUCCGGUUUUAUUGGGUUUAAAGGGUGCGUAGGCGGAUUGAUAAGUUAGCGGUGAAAUGUCCGAGCUUAACUCGGGAACUGCCUUUAAUACUGUUGAUCUAGAGAGGAGAUGCAGUAGGCGGAAUGUAUGGUGUAGCGGUGAAAUGCUUAGAGAGCAGACAGAACACCGAUUGCGAAGGCAGCUUACCAAUCUAUAUCUGACGUUGAGGCACGAAAGCGUGGGGAGCGAACAGGAUUAGAUACCCUAGUAGUC